UAAGAUCUUUAAAUUCAGAUUACCCGAGAGGCUAACAAAGCUAACCCUAUCAAAUGAUUCGUUGCCACAAACUGAAAUGUCUAAUAUCAUGAGAUUACCAAAUUUAGUGGUUCUCAAGUUAGAGCAUUGGUAAUAUCAGGAAUGAAAAUGGGACAUUAAAGAAGAAUAGUUUCACUAACCUCAAGGUUCUUAGAUUGAUGUCCCUCAGAAUUACAUAAAGGAAUG
rnacentral:lncRNA from 1 species